AUGCCUGGGAUGCAGUCAAGGAUGACAUGCUUAAGGUGUCGUUUGAAUGUUCAGCACCAAUCACUACGCAGUGUGUUGUCUGCCUAGAAGAUGCUGAUUAUAGGUGCAUUGAGUGCAGCACAACUGCAGUCUUUUGUGAGGCUUGUUUGAAGAGGACUCACAGAAAUUCACUGCACCUACCUGAUAAGUGGAAUAAUGCCUACUAUGAGCCAUCUUCCCUGGGGUUAUUCCUAUACUUACCUGAAGGCCAUAGCACCCAUGCUGUGUACAUGAAGGACAUGAAGGUCAUUGUCAGCACAGGACGGCUCUGCACCGUCACUGUCAAUAUGUGUGCGUGUGAACCAGAAGCCUGCACUCUGCUAAGGUACGGGCUCUGGCCAGCAACAGCCGACAAGCCCCAGACAGCCUUUUUCAUCCCUCUGCUAGAGCUUUUUGUUUGUCUGUCACUGGAGUGUCAGGUUUCUGUUGAGGGAUUUUGCAACACUCUACGCUGGAAAAACAACCUUACACUUGCAGAGGUAAGUCAGUUUGCAGAGGUCAGUUAGAAGUCAUGUCUGUGAAGUGAAUAUUUUAGUUACUUUCAUGGAAGACUGACCAGUCCGCAUACAUGUGACAAUUGGACCUUCUACUUUGAUUGUACUACA